UUCCAGGUUUCCUUGGGACCUGUCAGCUAUGGCAGUCUCCCCUCCUAGCCAUGGAAGAGCAUAUCCUUGUUUAUUGGCAAAGCUGCCACCAUUUAAUUGGUAUCAGAUUCUGACGCACAAGUAACAUGC
rnacentral:snoRNA from 1 species